CCCUGGGCUCAAACGGCCAGCAGAGGGAGCGCGUGGCCUCCAGAUUAACGGUUCCUUCCUAUCCAGUUUCAUAAACCAAAUGAUCCAGGAGGGUCUUUUACCUAGAAGCCCAAUGUCUAGCGAUAGUGGCAAAACCCAAAUUUGAUCUGCUGAGGGUGUGAGAUUCGGUGGCCAUCCCUCAACGUCGGGAGUGAGUGAAAAGUUAUGGGAUGCUCUAUUCAAAACCAACGUUCGGUUUGCUGCCAACUGACUUCUCUCCGAUGCCCAGAUGAUGCAGACGGCCCCACCUCAGCAACACCUUCCUUUUCCAGGCUCCUGUGGGCCUUCAACGGUCCUUCGGUGUCUGUUGGUCGAUCGGUCGGGUCGGUUGUCUGGAGGAAUCGUCUCAUAACUGGGGCCUGCCUGUGUUUUGUGAGCUCUGUCCACAGAGUUCUGCCAAGCAGGAG
rnacentral:lncRNA from 1 species